rnacentral:rRNA from 1 species
AUGGCCAUCAGCGGGGCUAUGCCGAAAUCCGACGGCGACAAAAAUUACCCCGGAAAUAUGACGGUGUUCGUCUUCCUCGCGUGCCUCGUUGCCUCGUCCGGCGGUCUCAUCUUCGGCUACGAUAUCGGCAUUUCGGGCGGCGUGACGUCUAUGGAUCCAUUUUUGAUCCGCUUCUUCCCGUCGGUGUACGCCAAGGAGCAGGAGGUGGUGGACACGAACCAGUACUGCAAAUUCGACAGCGUGCUGCUCACCCUCUUCACCUCGUCGCUCUACCUCGCGGCCCUCGUCGCCUCCCUCUUCGCGUCCAUCGUCACCCGGAAGCUCGGCCGCAGAGCCACCAUGCUCGGCGGCGGCGUCGUCUUCCUCGUCGGCGCCGUCCUUAAUGGCUUCGCCAUGAACAUAGCCAUGCUCAUCAUCGGUCGGAUCCUCCUCGGCAUCGGCGUCGGGUUCAGCAACCAGGCUGUUCCACUAUACCUAUCUGAGAUGGCGCCGGCCAAGAUGCGGGGCAUGCUCAACAUCAGCUUCCAGCUCAUGAUCACUGUGGGGAUCCUCGCCGCCAACCUCAUCAACUACUUCACCGCCAAGAUCUCCGGCGGCUGGGGCUGGCGCAUCAGCCUGGGCCUCGCCGCCGUGCCCGCCAUCAUCAUGGCCGGCGGCUCCCUCUUCCUCCCCGACACGCCCAACUCCCUAGUCGCCCGCGGCAAGGAGGAGGAGGCGCGUGCCAUGCUCCGACGCAUCCGGGGCACCCACGACAUCGGCCUCGAGUAUGACGACCUCGUGGCCGCCAGCAAGGCUUCCAAGGCCAUCGAGAACCCGUGGAAGACGCUCCUCGAGCGCCGGUACCGGCCGCAGCUCGCCAUGGCAAUCCUCAUCCCCACGCUGCAGCAGCUCACCGGCAUCAACGUCGUCAUGUUCUAUGCCCCUGUGCUGUUCAAGACCAUCGGCUUCGGCGGCACCGCCUCGCUCAUGUCCUCCGUCAUCAGCGGUGGCGUCAACAUGCUCGCCACCUUCGUCUCCAUUGCCACAGUUGACCGCCUUGGCCGCCGCAAGCUACUCCUCGAAGGCGGCUGCCAGAUGAUCCUUGCCCAGUUUGUGCUUGGGACGCUGAUCUGGAUCAAGUUCGGCACAGACGGCGUGGCCACCAUCUCGAGGUCGUACGCCAUCGGCGUCGUGUUCUGCAUCUGCGUCUUCGUGUCGGCCUUCGCGUGGUCGUGGGGCCCGCUGGGGUGGCUGGUGCCGAGUGAGAUCUUCCCGUUGGAGAUCCGGUCGGCGGCGCAGAGCAUGGUGGUGGUCUGCAACAUGGCCUUCACCUUCAUCAUCGCGCAGAUCUUCCUCAUGAUGCUCUGCCGCCUCAAGUUCGGCCUCUUCUACUUCUUCGGCGCCUGCGAGCUCCUCAUGACCUCCUUCGUCUACUUCUUCCUCCCCGAGACAAAGGGCAUCCCCAUCGAGGAGAUGGACCGGAUCUGGGCCACACAUUGGUACUGGAAGCGCUUCGUCGAGGGCAAUGGCGGACGCCGCAAUGUCCAGUUGUCAUCAUCCAACGCCGUAUGA